rnacentral:tRNA from 1 species
GACAGUAUGGUGUAGUGGUAAAUCACGUCUGCCUCACAUGCAAAAGGUCCCCAGUUCGAGCCUGGGUACUGUCA